UCUGGYUCAGGAYGAACGCUGGCGGCGUGCYUAAUACAUGCAAGUCGAGCGGACCGACGGGAGCUUGCUCCCUUAGGUCAGCGGCGGACGGGUGAGUAACACGUGGGUAACCUGCCUGUAAGACUGGGAUAACUCCGGGAAACCGGGGCUAAUACCGGAUGCUUGAUUGAACCGCAUGGUUCAAUCAUAAAAGGUGGCUUUUAGCUACCACUURCAGAUGGACCCGCGGCGCAUUAGCUAGUUGGUGAGGUAACGGCUCACCAAGGCGACGAUGCGUAGCCGACCUGAGAGGGUGAUCGGCCACACUGGGACUGAGACACGGCCCAGACUCCUACGGGAGGCAGCAGUAGGGAAUCUUCCGCAAUGGACGAAAGUCUGACGGAGCAACGCCGCGUGAGUGAUGAAGGUUUUCGGAUCGUAAAACUCUGUUGUUAGGGAAGAACAAGUACCGUUCGAAUAGGGCGGCACC
rnacentral:rRNA from 1 species